GUGUGUAUGAUUUAUAUGACUUGGAAAAUUAUCAAGUAAUUGGAUUGGUUGGAUUCGGUUGUGAAAUUAUGAUCUCUCGGUGAGAUCUAUUAGUGUAUUGACUAAAUGGUGAGAGGCUUCCAUAUAGGGGGUUAUCCCUAACGCUCCAACUGUCUUUCAUUCUCACUUAGAGAAGAUCGACGCGUGUGGUGGGAGUAGUGGGAGGUCCUAGGGUAGGCGCUUUCACUGUAGGCCUAUACUGCGGUAACGAACUAGCCUUGUGUAUGGUCGGAUGGAACCCCUCGGCAAUGGCUUUGCAAAGCAGUAGGGCCAUCANAAGAGCACAACCCGCCCC
rnacentral:lncRNA from 1 species